GGAGACUGAUUUAACCGGUGGGAGGUGGCGCCUGGGCAGGAGUAUUUUAUUAAACUAAAGUGCUCAUUCUCGCGUGCAGGGAGUGCUGAGUACCUGUGCUGUAGCAUCUCCUGCAACAAAGGCAGCAAAUGCUCCUGGGAAAGGUGUACUCGGAAGACUGGCUCUUGGGGCACCUGGUCGUCCCCUCUCACAGAGCAGACCUCAGAGAAGGCCAUCAGACGUCACCACCGCCUUCUGGAAACUUGCAAUGGAAAACAGACACACCAGAGGUAGCAUCCGAAAAGACCACAGGAGAUGCCGCGUCCAAUCUCGGGUAAAGACAGGCUGCUAGCUAACCACGGAGAAAUAACACUCCCCACCUCUCAAGAGUAGCGUGUGAGCAUUCAAUGUGACAGCGCACGGUGGAUGAGGAGAAGCAGGCACAGCACACAGUAAACGCUCGAUACCUUCUGGCUCCUGCCCUUAUCCUCUGUGUGACCUUGGGCAAGUCGCCUGCCGUCUCUGAACCUUGGCUCCUUCACCUGUGUGAUGAGUGUGAUAGCACACAGUGAGGGGGUCAUAGGAGGGCCCUUUGGGGAAAAGCGUGGAGGAGCUCUUUGCAGUGUGGGCAGCUCAGGCCAACGGCAGGUGCUUGGGGUUCUCUCUGCCUUCAGCAGCCCAAGGAGCUCUCCAGAGUUCCUGACUAACCCGCACUGAUCCGCCUCACUGAGGGCCAGACGGCCACAGCCUGGCAAGAAAGGGCGAUGCUGGUGGGCAGAGCGCUGUCCCUUGGGCUGGGUGCUCUGUGUCACUCCCCUUGCCAGCCUGGGGAUGCGGGCAAGACAAGGAUGGCCCUCUGAUUCACCUCGGUUUCCCCAAACCAGUGCGGGACCUGGCCUGGAGGAGGGGCUGGGUGAAAAGCUGGGGGUGAGUGAGCGAUGAGCGAGCGUGUGAGCACAUGAGUCAGAUCCACCAGGAUUUACUGAGUGCCCAUUAUAGGCCGAGCAUCACGCAGUGAGACAGGAGUGACAAUGGCCUUGUCCCUGGCCUCACAAAGCUUAUAGUCCGCUGGGGUGGGAUAUGAAACAGCACAAAGAGAGACAUCAUGGAAGGCCUGUUGGCUGUGGCAAGGAAUUUGGGAUUUAUCCUGAGUCUAACUGAAAGCCACUAAAAAGUUCCAACAGGGACAGAGGUGAGCAGACCAGCACUUUCUUAAAUGACUCUGGCUGCUGUGCGGAGAAUGGAUGGAAGGCGGAGCCAGUGCAGAGGCCACCACAGAGUGGAGCCUGGGACAUGGGGAGCUGGGCAUGCCCUGGAGACACCCAGGUAGACGCGGUG
rnacentral:lncRNA from 1 species